rnacentral:rRNA from 1 species
UCAAGAAAGAAAGGGCGUAUGGCGGAAGCCUGGGCACACAGAGGCGAAGAAGGACGGAGCAAACACCGAAAUGCAUCGGGGAGCCGUAAGCAGGCGAAGAUCCGGCGAUGUCCGAAUGGGGAAACCCGCAUGAGCAAGACUCAUGCAUCCUUCAGCGAAUACAUAGCUGGAGAGAGGCGAGACGCAGGGAACUGAAACAUCUAAGUACCUGCAGGAAAAGAAAUCAAACGAGAUUCCGUAAGUAGCGGCGAGCGAAAGCGGAGGAGCCCAAACCAUCAUAUGAUGGGGUAGUAGGACCCGCACAAAGCGAAGGCCUCGGCAGCCGAAUGUCAUGGGAAGGACAUCCAGAGAGGGUGAGAGACCCGUAGGCGAAACCGAGGCUUAGCGAGCGGAGAUCCUGAGUACGGCGGGACACGAGAAAUCCUGUCGGAAGCAUCGGGGACCAUCCCGAAAGGCUAAAGACUCCUGUGUGACCGAUAGCGAACCAGUACCGUGAGGGAAAGGUGAAAAGAACCCCGGGAGGGGAGUGAAAGAGAACCAGAAACCAUAUGCCUACAAGAAGUCAGAGCCCGUCAAAGGGUGAUGGCGUGCCUUUUGUAGAAUGAGCCGGCGAGUUGCUUUUCCAGGCGAGGCUAAGCAGGAUAUGCGGAGCCGAAGCGAAAGCGAGUCUUAAUAGGGCGAGAGUCUGGAGGAGCAGACCCGAAACCGGGUGAUCUAGCCAUGGACAGGUUGAAGUCGGGGUGAGACCCGAUGGAGGACCGAACCGACCCCCGUUGAAACGUUGGCGGAUGAUCUGUGGCUAGGGGUGAAAUUCCAAACGAACCCGGAGAUAGCUGGUUCUCCCCGAAAUAGCUUUAGGGCUAGCGUCGCGAGACGGCAUGCGAAGGUAGAGCACUGAAUAUGCGAUGGCCUCAUCCCGAGGUACUGAGCAUAAUCAAACUCCGAAUGUCGCACGUCCAGUCGCGGCAGUCAGUCUGCGGGUGAUAAGGUCCGCGGACAAGAGGGAAACAGCCCAGACCAUCAGCUAAGGUCCCAAAGUGCAUGCCAAGUGGAAAAGGAAGUGGGGACGUGGAGACAACUAGGAGGUUGGCUCAGAAGCAGCCAUCCUUCAAAGAGUGCGUAACAGCUCACUAGUCGAAUGACCCUGCGCCGAUAAUUUACCGGGGCUAAGCAUGACACCGAAGCUAUGGAUAUGAAAAUAUGGUAGGGGAGCGUUCCAUCCGGCGGAGAAGCGGGACCGAAAGGGCCCGAGGAGCGGAUGGAAGAGAGAAUGCCGGCGUGAGUAGCGAGAUGCGGGUGAGAAUCCCGCACACCGAUGGCCCAAGGUCUCCAGAGGAAGGUUCGUCCGCUCUGGGAGAGUCGGGACCUAAGGAGAGGCCGAAAGGCGUAUCCGAUGGAAGACAGGCGGAGAUUCCUGUACCCUUCAGGGAGCGAUGGAGUGACGGAGAAGGCUAGCGCAACCGGCGGACGGAAGAGCCGGGGCAAGCGAGGUAGCCGUGAUGCAGUGAAAUGCGCAUCACAGAAGGCGAAGGCGUGACGCAUACGGAAAGCUGCGGCAAGUACGGAAAAGCGUGAAGCAGACUUCCAGGAAAAGCUUCUAGCACAAAUUUCUGAAGGCCCGUACCGAAAAUGGACACACAUGGGCAGGGAGAGAAUCCCAAGGUGAGCGAGAGAACUGCAGCUAAGGAACUCUGCAAAAUGACCCCGUAACUUAGGGAGAAGGGGUGCUCUUCGGAGCCGCAGAAAAAUGGCCCAAGCGACUGUUUACCAAAAACACAGCUCUCUGCGAAGGCGCAAGCCGAAGUAUAGGGGGUGACGCCUGCCCGGUGCUGGAAGGUCAAGAGGAGUGGUCAGCGCAAGCGAAGCCAUGAUACGAAGCCCCAGUAAACGGCGGCCGUAACUAUAACGGUCCUAAGGUAGCGAAAUUCCUUGUCAGGUAAGUUCUGACCCGCACGAAAGGCGUAACGAUUUGGGCGCUGUCUCGGCUGCAGACUCGGUGAAGUCUUAGUACCUGUGAAGAUGCAGGUUGCCCGCGACUAGACGGAAAGACCCCAUGGAGCUUCACUGCAGGCCGACAUUGGGCCUGGGUGCAUGACGUACAGGAUAGGUGGGAGGCUGCGAGACGGGUUCGCCAGGAUCCGAGGAGCCGCUGUUGGGAUACCACCCCUCGUGCACUUAGGUUCUAACCGGGACGCGUAAGCCGCGUACGGGACAGUGUCAGCCGGGCAGUUUGACUGGGGCGGUCGCCUCCCAAAGAGUAACGGAGGCGCCCAAAGAUACCCUCAGCGUGGAUGGAAACCACGCAUCGAGCGCAAAGGCAUAAGGGUGUCUGACUGCGAGACAAACAGGUCGAGCAGGGACGAAAGUCGGGCUUAGUGAUCCGGCGGUACCGCAUGGAAGGGCCGUCGCUCAACGGAUAAAAGCUACCCUGGGGAUAACAGGCUGAUCUCCCCCAAGAGUUCACAUCGACGGGGAGGUUUGGCACCUCGAUGUCGGCUCAUCGCAUCCUGGAGCUGAAGUCGGUUCCAAGGGUUGGGCUGUUCGCCCAUUAAAGCGGUACGCGAGCUGGGUUCAGAACGUCGUGAGACAGUUCGGUCCCUAUCUGUCGUGGGCGCAGGAGGUCUGAGGAGAGCUGCCCUCAGUACGAGAGGACCGGGGUGGACGGACCGAUGGUGGACCAGUUGUCACGCCAGUGGCACAGCUGGGUAGCCAAGUCCGGAAGGGAUAAGCGCUGAAGGCAUCUAAGCGUGAAGCCCCCUCCAAGAUGAGACCUCCCGUUGCUUAGCAAGUAAGGCCCCUUAAAGACGAUAAGGUUGAUAGACCGGGAGUGAAAGCAUGGCGACAUGUUCAGCGGACCGGCACUAAUAGGCCGAGGACUUGACC